GGUCAAGCGAACAAGUGCAUGUGGUGGAUGCCUUGGCGAUCACAGGCGAUGAAGGACGCGGUAGCCUGCGAAAAGCCCCGGGGAGCUGGCAAACAAGCUUUGAUCCGGGGAUGUCCGAAUGGGGAAACCCACUCCGUAUGGAGUAUCCAUGACUGAAUACAUAGGUCAUGUGAAGCGAACGCGGUGAACUGAAACAUCUAAGUAACCGCAGGAAAAGAAAUCAACCGAGAUUCCCAAAGUAGUGGCGAGCGAAAUGGGAUGAGCCUUGUACUCUUUAUUCGUAUUGUUAGCCGAACGCUCUGGAAAGUGCGGCCAUAGCAGGUGAUAGCCCUGUAGGCGAAAACAGUAUGAAAGAACUAGGUGUACGACAAGUAGGGCGGGACACGUGAAAUCCUGUCUGAAGAUGGGGGGACCAUCCUCCAAGCUAAUACUCGUGAUCGACCGAUAGUGAACCAGUACCGUGAGGGAAAGCGAAAGACCCGGGAGGGAGUGAAAUAGAUCCUGAAACGCAUGCAUACAACAGUCGGAGCCUCGUAAGGGGUGACGGCGUACCUUUUGUAUAAUGGGUCAGCGACUUACGUUCAGUAGCAAGCUUAACCGUAUAGGGCAGGCGUAGCGAAAGCGAGUCCGAAUAGGGCGUUCAGUUGCUGGGCGUAGACCCGAAACCAGGUGAUCUAUCCAUGGCCAGGAUGAAGGUGCGGUAACACGUACUGGAGGUCCGAACCCACUAACGUUGAAAAGUUAGGGGAUGAGCUGUGGAUAGGGGUGAAAGGCUAAACAAACCUGGAAAUAGCUGGUUCUCUCCGAAAACUAUUUAGGUAGUGCCUCGUGUCUCACCUUCGGGGGUAGAGCACUGUCAUGGUUGGGGGGUCUAUUGCAGAUUACCCCGCCAUAGCAAACUCCGAAUACCGAAGAGUGCAAUCACGGGAGACAGACAUCGGGUGCUAACGUCCGGUGUCAAGAGGGAAACAACCCAGACCGCCAGCUAAGGUCCCCAAAUAUGGCUAAGUGGGAAACGAAGUGGGAAGGCUAAAACAGUCAGGAGGUUGGCUUAGAAGCAGCCACCCUUUAAAGAAAGCGUAAUAGCUCACUGAUCGAGUCGUCCUGCGCGGAAGAUGUAACGGGGCUAAGCCAUAUACCGAAGCUGCGGAUGCGAGCUUGCUCGCAUGGUAGGAGAGCGUUCCGUAAGCCUGCGAAGGUGCCUUGUAAAGGGUGCUGGAGGUAUCGGAAGUGCGAAUGCUGACAUGAGUAGCGAUAAAGGGGUGAAGGCCCCCUCGCGUAAGCCCAGGUUCUACGCAACGUCAUCGGCGUAGGGUGAGUCGGCCCUAAGGCGAGCAGAAAUGCGUAGCUGAUGGAAGCAGGUCAAUAUUCUGCACGUCGUUAGAUGCGAUGGGGGGACGGAUCGCGGAAGGUUGUCCGGGUGUUGGACGUCCCGGUCGCUGCAUUGGAGAAGGCGCUUAGGCAAAUCCGGGCGCAGGAUUCAAGGGUGUGGCGCGAGCGACUUCGGUCGCGAAGCAAUUGGAAGUGGUUCCAAGAAAAGCCUCUAAGCUUCAGUCUAACGAUGACCGUACCGCAAACCGACACAGGUGGGCGAGAUGAGUAUUCUAAGGCGCUUGAGAGAACUCGGGAGAAGGAACUCGGCAAAUUGGUACCGUAACUUCGGGAUAAGGUACGCCCUUGUAGCUUGACCAGCCUGCGCUGGAAGGGUGAAGGGGUUGCAAUAAACUGGUGGCUGCGACUGUUUAAUAAAAACACAGCACUCUGCAAACACGAAAGUGGACGUAUAGGGUGUGACGCCUGCCCGGUGCCGGAAGAUUAAAUGAUGGGGUGCAAGCUCUUGAUUGAAGUCCCGGUAAACGGCGGCCGUAACUAUAACGGUCCUAAGGUAGCGAAAUUCCUUGUCGGGUAAGUUCCGACCUGCACGAAUGGCGUAACGAUGGCCACACUGUCUCCUCCCGAGACUCAGCGAAGUUGAAGUGUUUGUGAUGAUGCAAUCUACCCGCGGCUAGACGGAAAGACCCCAUGAACCUUUACUGUAGCUUUGCAUUGGACUUUGAACCGAUCUGUGUAGGAUAGGUGGGAGGCUAUGAAACCGGAACGCUAGUUUCGGUGGAGCCGUCCUUGAAAUACCACCCUGGUUUGUUUGAGGUUCUAACCUUGGUCCGUGAUCCGGAUCGGGGACAGUGCAUGGUAGGCAGUUUGACUGGGGCGGUCUCCUCCCAAAGGGUAACGGAGGAGUACGAAGGUACGCUAGGUACGGUCGGAAAUCGUGCUGAUAGUGCAAUGGCAUAAGCGUGCUUAACUGCGAGACCGACAAGUCGAGCAGGUGCGAAAGCAGGUCAUAGUGAUCCGGUGGUUCUGUAUGGAAGGGCCAUCGCUCAACGGAUAAAAGGUACUCUGGGGAUAACAGGCUGAUACCGCCCAAGAGUUCAUAUCGACGGCGGUGUUUGGCACCUCGAUGUCGGCUCAUCUCAUCCUGGGGCUGUAGCCGGUCCCAAGGGUAUGGCUGUUCGCCAUUUAAAGAGGUACGUGAGCUGGGUUUAAAACGUCGUGAGACAGUUUGGUCCCUAUCUGCCGUGGGCGUUGGAUAUUUGAAGGGGGCUGCUCCUAGUACGAGAGGACCGGAGUGGACGAACCUCUGGUGUACCGGUUGUGACGCCAGUCGCAUCGCCGGGUAGCUAUGUUCGGAAGAGAUAACCGCUGAAAGCAUCUAAGCGGGAAACUCGCCUUAAGAUGAGAUAUCCCUGGAGGCUUGACCUCCUUGAAGGGUCGUUCGAGACCAGGACGUUGAUAGGUCGGGUGUGUAAGCGCAGUAAUGCGUUCAGCUAACCGAUACUAAUUGCCCGUAAGGCUUGAUCCU
rnacentral:rRNA from 1 species